CUAAACCGGACAUUCCUAACAAUCGCAAUGGGCUGGAAUCUGUAAAAUAAAGAAAUCAGGUCUUGUGUUACACGUUGACAAUUGGGAUCUAAUCCCGCUCGGCUGUAAAUCGGCAGCAGGCCGCGAUCGCCGGUUCAAAGCGCAGAUCUGAGCGUGGAGAAUUCACCGCUGAAACGGUUAAAGCGGAGCAGAUGCGCGCACAGCGGCUCUCGGGCCCGCAGCUGCCGCACAAAUCAAAUCAGCGUCCCUGAGCGACAUGAAACUCUGUCAUCAGUCAGCAGCACCACGAGAAAGGAAUUACACCAACCGGGGCUGAGAGCAGCCACUGUGCGGCCAGCUGAGGCCCGGAGCCCGCGGCAGCAGCGUCCCCGCGCCCACCGAAACAUUUCCUUGGUUUUGAUCAGUGCUGAGAACAGCAGUAGAUGAGGCCUUCCUCUGAUCUUAACCUGCUAACAUCCCCUCUAUGUUGACUGAACACACUGAACUUCAAACUAUGCUCUCCUCUCUCUCUUAUGUUCAUCUUCAGCCAUCCUCCUCCUCUUGGAGCUGAAGCUUGUAACCCCGCCAACCUUUCAAGUUCAAGUCGCUGAGCAGGUGAUUAGGACAGAGGCGGUAUCCUAACCUCAUGGCCACACAGUCAAGACUCUCCUGUUACUCCAACACCUCGCACAUGGAAUGGCCUCUCAGGCUUCACACACACACACACACACACACACACACACACACACACACACACACACACACACACACACACACACACACACACAUCACAUGUAGACACAUGAGCCCUAGUUUCCUCUGUUUUUGGGACACAGCCGGCUCAGCAGGAUCUCAGAGUACACCUGGUUGACUGGUCCUCUCACGUGAUAGGAGGAGGCGUUGGAGGCCGUCCACUGGUCCGCGUCCUGCAGGACAGACUGACUGCUGAGUCCAGGUCCAGGUCCUGUCCCCGUCACUCUGCCUCUGCUGCUUCCGGACGUCGUGUCAUCUGCAUUGUGCUGAAGGAUCUUCAUCUUCCUGUGCAGCGGAGCUUUGGAAAACCACAACUUCUCAACCUGUGCACAGGGCCAGACAUCGCUUAGCUAAUAAAUACUACUACUAUUAAUAACAAGAAGACUCAGCCACUACUAGUGUGAGUACUUGAUUAUUAGUUAUUAUUAUUAACUUCAUUUGCACAUCACUUUUCAAAGCAAAGAGUUACAAAGUGCUUUACAUGCAAUAAAACAAUAAAGAAAAGCUGUUUGGAUUAACCAUAAUAGAGAGCCAAAGAGGCAAAUAAAAGGGACUGAAAACAAUUUAAUUGGUUAAUAUAAUACAUUAAAUAGGUUAACAAGGGACCACAAAAUGGCCUGGCAGCAAAAAUGUGUUUUAUGGGGUGAUUUAAAAGAUGGUAUAAGGGCGCUCCAAAGACUUCCUGUUGGAACAUGGACUGAGACAAACUUUUUCCAGCAACAAGCACUCACAGAAAAAAGCGAUGAUUUCGUUUACUCUGACAACGGUAAGAAGAAAGAAGAAUAUGAAAAAGUAACCAUUUUCUAGCAGCUGGCCAAUGGAAAUCAUUCUCAUCUACUGUGUACUUAGGAAAGAAUAUACUGAAAGAAUAAUGGUUUUAAAUAAUUUAAAAUUCUAUGCAAUGGGUUUUAAAUGGUGCACUUAUUUAAAAGAAGAAGAUGAUGAUGAAGAAGAAGACCGGAAGUGUAAAAAUAUGGAGAAGGACGGGGUGUAACACAGUGUUGUUGAUUCAAAUUAGAGAAGUAGACAUCAUAAAAUCAUGCCUGAGUCCCUCCUGGUGUAGGCAGGGCAUGAUUUGAAACUCAUCCAGUAAAACCUCUUGUUUCUGUCACAUCAGUGUCAGUCCCUCAGCCU